rnacentral:rRNA from 1 species
CCUACGGGCGGCAGCAGUGGGGAAUAUUGCACAAUGGGGGAAACCCUGAUGCAGCGACGUCGCGUGAGUGAAGAAGUAACUCGUUAUGUAAAGCUCCAUUAGCAGGGAAGAAAAUGACGGCACCUGAGUAAGAAGCCCCGGCUAACUACGAGCCAGCAGCCGCGGUAAUACGUAGGGGGCAAGCGUUAUCCGGAAUUACUGGGUGUAAAGGGAGCGUAGACGGCAGUGCAAGUUUGGAGUGAAAGGCGUGGGGUCAACCCCCGGAGUGCUGUGGAAACUGUACGGCUGGAGUGCAGGAGAGGUAAGUGGAAUUCCUAGUGUAGCGGUGAAAUGCGUAGAUAUUAGGAAGAACUCCGAUGGCGAAGGCAGCUUACUGGACUGUAACUGACGUUGAGGCUCGAAAGCGUGGGGAGCGAACAGGAUUAGAUACCCCAGUAGUC